ACAGUGGACGCGAGCAUCUGUGGCCAAGUUUUUAAGGGCGCACGGUGGAUGCCUUGGCACCAGGAACCGAUGAAGGACGUGGGAGGCCACGAUAGGCCCCGGGGAGUCGUCAACCAGGCUUUGAUCCGGGGGUGUCCGAAUGGGGAAACCCGGCAGUCGUCAUGGGCUGUCACCCGCUGCUGAACACAUAGGCAGUGUGGAGGGAACGCGGGGAAGUGAAACAUCUCAGUACCCGCAGGAAGAGAAAACAACCGUGAUUCCGGGAGUAGUGGCGAGCGAAACCGGAUGAGGCCAAACCGUAUGCGUGUGAGACCCGGCAGGGGUUGCGUAUACGGGGUUGUGGGAUCUCUCUUUYAUGGUCUGCCGGCCRUGAGACGAGUCAGAAACCGUUGAUGUAGGCGAAGGACAUGCGAAAGGUCCGGCGUAGAGGGUAAGACCCCCGUAGUCGAAACAUCAGCGGCUCGUUUGAGAGACACCCAAGUAGCACGGGGCCCGAGAAAUCCCGUGUGAAUCUGGCGGGACCACCCGCUAAGCCUAAAUAUUCCCUGGUGACCGAUAGCGGAUAGUACCGUGAGGGAAUGGUGAAAAGUACCGCGGGAGCGGAGUGAAAUAGUACCUGAAACCGUGUGCCUACAAGCCGUGGGAGCGUCGGGCAAGCACUUGUGUUUGCCUCGUGACUGCGUGCCUUUUGAAGAAUGAGCCUGCGAGUUUGCGGUGUGUUGCGAGGUUAACCCGUGUGGGGAAGCCGUAGCGAAAGCGAGUCCGAAUAGGGCGGUGGAGUAGCACGCUCAAGACCCGAAGCGGAGUGAUCUAGCCAUGGGCAGGUUGAAGCGGAGGUAAGACUUCGUGGAGGACCGAACCCACCAGGGUUGAAAACCUGGGGGAUGACCUGUGGUUAGGGGUGAAAGGCCAAUCAAACUCCGUGAUAGCUGGUUCUCCCCGAAAUGCAUUUAGGUGCAGCGUCGUGUGUUUCUUGCCGGAGGUAGAGCACUGGAUAGGCGAUGGGCCCUACCGGGUUACUGACCUUAGCCAAACUCCGAAUGCCGGUAAGUGAGAGCGCGGCAGUGAGACUGUGGGGGAUAAGCUCCAUGGUCGAGAGGGAAACAGCCCAGAGCAUCGACUAAGGCCCCUAAGCGUACGCUAAGUGGGAAAGGAUGUGGAGUCGCACAGACAACCAGGAGGUUGGCUUAGAAGCAGCCACCCUUGAAAGAGUGCGUAAUAGCUCACUGGUCUAGUGAUUCCGCGCCGACAAUGUAGCGGGGCUCAAGCGUACCGCCGAAGUCGUGUCAUUCACACAAUAGGGCCAACGCCUGUGUGGAUGGGUAGGGGAGCGUCGUGUGCCGGGUGAAGCAGCCGUGUAAGCGAGUUGUGGACGGUUCACGAGUGAGAAUGCAGGCAUGAGUAGCGAUACACACGUGAGAAACGUGUGCGCCGAUUGACUAAGGGUUCCUGGGUCAAGCUGAUCUGCCCAGGGUAAGUCGGGACCUAAGGCGAGGCCGACAGGCGUAGUCGAUGGAUAACCGGUUGAUAUUCCGGUACCCGCUGUGAAGCGUCAAACAU
rnacentral:rRNA from 1 species